CCUACGGGUGGCAGCAGUAGGGAAUCUUUCACAAUGGGCGAAAGCCUGAUGGAGCAACGCCGCGUGCAGGAUGAAGGCCUUCGGGUUGUAAACUGCUUUUAUGAGCGAGAAAGAAGGUGGUAACUUAUGAAUAAGGAGCGGCUAAAAACGUGCCAGCAGCCGCGGUCAUACGUAGGAGCGGAGCAGUAUACGGGGUGACUGGGUGUAAAAAGUUGCGUAGGUGGCGUAGUAAGUAGCUAGUGAAAUCUGGUGGCUCAACCAUUCAGACGAUUAGCUAAACUGCUAAGCUCGAGACCGUUAGGGGUAACUGGAAUUUCGAGUGUAGGAGUGAAAUCCGUAGAUAUAAGAAGGAACACCGAUAGCGUAGGCAGGUUACUGGGACGGUUCUGACACUAAGGCACGAAAGCGUAGGGAGCAAACGGGAUUAGAUACCCCUGUAGUC
rnacentral:rRNA from 1 species